rnacentral:rRNA from 1 species
GAUGAACGCUAGCGGCAGGCCUAAUACAUGCAAGUCGAACGGUGUCUUCGGACAUAGUGGCGCACGGGUGCGUAACACGUAUGCAACCUACCUUACAUUGGGGGAUAGCCUUUCGAAAGGGAGAUUAAUACCGCAUAAGACAGUAGCUGGGCAUCCAGCAGCUGUUAAAGAUUUAUCGAUGUAAGCUGGGCAUGCGCCCAAUUAGCUAGUUGGUGAGGUAACGGCUCACCAAGGCAAUGAUUGGUAGGGGAACUGAGAGGUCAAUCCCCCACACUGGCACUGAGAUACGGGCCAGACUCCUACGGGAGGCAGCAGUAGGGAAUAUUGGGCAAUGGACGCAAGCCUGAUCCAGCCAUGCCGCGUGCGGGAAGAAGGCCUUCGGGUUGUAAACCGCUUUUGUCAGGGAAGAAAUCCUUUGGGUUAAUACCUCGGGGGGAUGACGGUACCUGAAGAAUAAGCACCGGCUAACUACGUGCCAGCAGCCGCCGUAACAC